GACGAACGCUGGCGGCGUGCUUAACACAUGCAAGUCGAACGGAAAGGCCCUGCUUUUGUGGGGUGCUCGAGUGGCGAACGGGUGAGUAACACGUGAGUAACCUGCCCUUGACUUUGGGAUAACUUCAGGAAACUGGGGCUAAUACCGGAUAGGAGCUCCUGCUGCAUGGUGGGGGUUGGAAAGUUUCGGCGGUUGGGGAUGGACUCGCGGCUUAUCAGCUUGUUGGUGGGGUAGUGGCUUACCAAGGCCUUGACGGGUAGCCGGCCUGAGAGGGUGACCGGCAACAUUGGGACUGAGAUACGGCCCAGACUCCUACGGGAGGCAGCAGUGGGGAAUAUUGCACAAUGGGCGGAAGCCUGAUGCAGCAACGCCGCGUGCGGGAUGACGGCCUUCGGGUUGUAAACCGCUUUCGCCUGUGACGAAGCGUGAGUGACGGUAAUGGGUAAAGAAGCACCGGCUAACUACGUG
rnacentral:rRNA from 1 species